rnacentral:lncRNA from 1 species
GAUUUCAAUUUGGAAAAUGGCAUGGAAAUAAUCCAGCUUGAACAUCGUCCUCCUCACCUCCUGGACUAGGGCGAGGGCCCCUUAUAUUUCUUCAUGGCAAUUGUGUCACAGUUCAAACGCUCGUACCCUGACUCCAUCUGGGAUUUGGAAUGCACUCAGGGAAGUGUCUGCGCAUGGAGACUAGAAAUGGAAGAGGCUUCCAAGGUCAUGCCUUUCAGGCUCCCUUCAAAUUCUACAGCUACUGUGAAGAGAGUUGCAUUCCCACAGAGAACAUGUCAGACUGGAGGAAAAUUGUGACAAAAGGUCUCCCCAAAGGCCUCUGAAACUUGGAUCUUAUCUCAUUCCACAAGGCAAAGGCCAGUUUCCUAAAUCAAAGAAUGAAACAAAGUACAUCUUUUUCAAGCAUUGUUUUGACAUCACUCCCUUUUAUACAAACUGGACAGGCACUCCCAUUGUCUCUUUAAAUAAUUUUUAAACACUCCUGAACUUUGGCUUGGAGACCCUCAUUUGAAAUGAUUUUACCACUCUAGACAUACUAGCUCAUAUUUUUUAACUUCAACCUGGCAAAAAGUUAAUAUCCCUCAUAAAACUCU